rnacentral:rRNA from 1 species
AUUGAACGCUGGCGGCAGGCCUAACACAUGCAAGUCGAGCGAGCGGCGGACGGGUGAGUAAUGUCUGGGAAACUGCCUGAUGGAGGGGGAUAACUACUGGAAACGGUAGCUAAUACCGCAUACCAUCGGAUGUGCCCAGAUGGGAUUAGCUUGUAGGUGGGGUAACGUCUCACCUAGGCGACGAUCCCUAGCUGGUCUGAGAGGAUGACCAGCCACACUGGAACUGAGCCACGGUCCAGACUCCUACGGGAGGCAGCAGUGGGGAAUAUUGCACAAUAGGCGCAAGCCUGAUGCAGCCAUGCCGCGUGUAUGAAGAAGGCCUUCGGGUUGUAAAGUACUUUCAGCGAAGAGGCGUUACCCGCAGGAGAAGCACCGGCUAACUCCGUGCCAGCAGCCGCGGUGAUUC